rnacentral:rRNA from 1 species
AUGUACCAAAAGUACAUUGCCGAGUUGGACACGAUUACGCCUGAGCAGGUGGAAUGGCAGCCAUAUGGCGCGGGUGAGAGCUUGGGGUACACCGCGGAGUUCCGCCUCAACCCGAUGUGCUUGCGGGAUAAGGAUCUCUGGCUUAUGCGGUGCCCACUGAUAUGCAACUGGGCGGUUGAGUUUCAUUUGCCGCAUCGCGUGUAUCGUCAGUUUGGUCUUUUCCAGCCUCACCCGCCGGAUUGGGUGGACACGGAUAAAGCACUUCAUAGGUUGGACAGGAGAAGGCAACGGAAGAUAAAGGACUGGGACAAGCAUCAUUCUGCGUAUGUUACCCGCUUCCAGCUUUGUGUGGAGCAAGCUCGUAGCACUGCACGCGCCCCGCUUCAUGAGCACAACUCACUUGCUUUUGAUAACUACGUACGAUGGUUUAUUGGAACUACUCGAGUUGAGAUAUGCCCGCCGGCAUAUAAUGAGGAUAUUCUUGAAGAACCCGUAAAUUUUGAGGAUCUAGCAAAGGGGAAGUACAACAGAGAUGUCAGGCAAGGGCAAGGAGUCCCUGCUGUUCCGGUGAUU